rnacentral:rRNA from 1 species
AUGUUUUUCUUCGCUGUUACGAGGUUGCGCACGAAACGUACGGAAUGUCACAAGCCGAUGUUACAAAAUGAAGAAUGUGAUGCUAGUGUUGGUUCUAUUGCUAAAGCGUUUGUCCCCACUGGCAUGCUCAACUUAGACAGUGCUGACGUUGUUUUAUAUUCUCUACGUCAGAAGUACCGACACACUGACAAGUUGAUAGUUCCCAGAUGGACCAAGAUCCGUGAUGAAAAUAUUGAUUCCAAUGUGCUAAAUUGGUUCACGAGAUCAGGGGCUGAUGGUUUUGACCAAGUAGGUGAUGCAGUUAGAUUCUUAAGGACUAUGAUAGAUAACAUCAAGAUGCUUUGGAGGGAGUCCAGCGUAGACAGGGCCAAACCGUUCUCGCCGGUGCAUAUUGAUUGUUUCUCUUGCGAGUUUAUGCGGGUUCGCAGCAGAAAAACACGCAUGAUUGUGGAUUCUUUAUGCUACAAAGCUGCAAGACCUCUCAUUGCCGGGAGGAUGGAGUGA